rnacentral:rRNA from 1 species
AUUGAACGCUGGCGGCAUGCCUUACACAUGCAAGUCGAACGGUAACAGGUCUUCGGAUGCUGACGAGUGGCGAACGGGUGAGUAAUACAUCGGAACGUACCCGAUCGUGGGGGAUAACGAAGCGAAAGCUUUGCUAAUACCGCAUAAGAUCUACGGAUGAAAGCAGGGGACCGCAAGGCCUUGCGCGAACGGAGCGGCCGAUGGCGGAUUAGGUAGUUGGUGGGAUAAAAGCUUACCGAGCCGACGAUCUGUAGCUGGUCUGAGAGGACGACCAGCCACACUGGGACUGAGACACGGCCCAGACUCCUACGGGAGGCAGCAGUGGGGAAUUUUGGACAAUGGGCGAAAGCCUGAUCCAGCCAUGCCGCGUGCAGGAUGAAGGCCUUCGGGUUGUAAACUGCUUUUGUACGGAACGAAAAGACUCUUUCUAAUAAAGAGGGUCCAUGACGGUACCGUAAGAAUAAGCACCGGCUAACUACGUGCCAGCCGCCGCGGUAACAC